GCGGGCGUGGCUCAGUCUGGUAGAGCGAUUCCUUGCCAAGGAAUAGGUCACGAGUUCAAAUCUCGUCGCCCGCU
rnacentral:tRNA from 1 species